AUGGACAAUGUGUUCCCUGGAGUAGAGCAUAGGGAAUGCAUGCGUCACCUUGCUGCAAAUUUCAUGAAGAAAUUCAAAGGAAAGGUGUAUACCGACAAUUUAUGGCCAGCAUCUUUGACUUGCAGUGUGAAGAAGCACAACUACCACUUGAGGCAGUUAUGCAUGAAUCCCAAAGUGAAAGAAUACUUGGAAACACACCACUCCAAGUUAUGGGCCAGAAGCCAAUUCAGUGAACUGAGCAAAGUUGACUAUGCGCACAAUAAUCAAGCAGAGUCUUUCAAUUCAACGAUCCGGAUACUAAAG
rnacentral:rRNA from 1 species